ensembl:lncRNA
UGGAGACGUCCCCACUCCGGCCCCCGGCAAGACAGAUGGGGGCACCGUGACGGCUGGGGAUGGAGUCAGGGCACAGACUUCCUCACAGGUCUGCAGCCAUGGAGGCGGCACACAGCAGGGGAAGCAGCUAGUUGGCUGCUGCCCUGGCCCCAGGGGUCUGACCCAGGCCCGAGGUCUUGCUUCUGCCAUCCACUUCUGAUGAUCUUGGGUCAGAUUCUUUCUUCUCCAGGCCCAGGGUUUCAGGCUUCUGGGUUUUAUUACCAGGGCCUGGACCUUCCUAAACUGGCCGUCCAGAGACCCUGGGCCCUGAAGGCAGCACUGGGUGGGGUCAGUGUUGUGCCCAGGCCCCUUCUCCAGCCCUUCUAGAAGCUUCUGGAGAUCCAAACUGCCUGGGGUGCCUGCUCUGUGGAGCCCCCACAGUCUCAGGUGGGAAUGAUGCUGCCUGUUCUUUCUCUUGCUGCUGAUAACCAGAGAAUGUCUGAGCCACGGGGGCCCAGAGGUGAUCUCCUAUAAUCCCUCAUUUUACAGUUGGAGAAACCGAAGUCCAGAGGGGACGGUGUCUGCCUAGCAAGUCAGUGCAGAGCCAGGGUUGGGGCUCCUCCUGCACCUGCUGUCCGGGGUGAGGGCAUGGGCUAGAGUCAGACUGUGGAAGGGACAAGACACUCCAGAGGCAUAGGCAGGAGGGGCAACCAGCUUAUCCCACCUCUCAGGGUAAGAGAGCCUAGCAGGAUGGACUCGGAGAGGCAGAUGCUUCUACUGGUUGAGCUUACACCCUCAUGGCUGGUUUGGUUCUGUCAGGGUUUGCAGUUCUCUGAACUUUACCUGACUGAGGUACAGGGUGGGGUAGGAUUUGCCCAGUUGCCCCAGAAUGUUAGGAAUUCAAGGCCCCAGGUCCCCAUCCAG